GACGAACGCUGGCGGCGUGCUUAACACAUGCAAGUCGAACGGAAAGGCCCUGCUUUUGUGGGGUGCUCGAGUGGCGAACGGGUGAGUAACACGUGAGUAACCUGCCCUUGACUUUGGGAUAACUUCAGGAAACUGGGGCUAAUACCGGAUAGGAGCUCCUGCUGCAUGGUGGGGGUUGGAAAGUUUCGGCGGUUGGGGAUGGACUCGCGGCUUAUCAGCUUGUUGGUGGGGUAGUGGCUUACCAAGGCUUUGACGGGUAGCCGGCCGGAGAGGGUGACCGGCCACAUUGGGACUGAGAUACGGCCCAGACUCCUACGGGAGGCAGCAGUGGGGAAUAUUGAACAAUGGGCGGAAGCCUGAUGCAGCAACGCCGCGUGCGGGAUGACGGCCUUCGGGUUGUAAACCGCUUUCGCCUGUGACGAAGCGUGAGUGACGGUAAUGGGGAAAGAAGCACCGGCUAACUACGU
rnacentral:rRNA from 1 species